rnacentral:rRNA from 1 species
AACGAACGCUGGCGGCAUGCCUAACACAUGCAAGUCGAACGAACUCUUCGGAGUUAGUGGCGCACGGGUGCGUAACGCGUGGGAAUCUGCCCUUGGGUACGGAAUAACUCAGAGAAAUUUGUGCUAAUACCGUAUAAUGACUUCGGUCCAAAGAUUUAUCGCCCAAGGAUGAGCCCGCGUAAGAUUAGCUAGUUGGUGGGGUAAAAGCCUACCAAGGCGACGAUCUUUAGCUGGUCUGAGGGGAUGAUCAGCCACACUGGGACUGAGACACGGCCCAGACUCCUACGGGAGGCAGCAGUGGGGAAUAUUGGACAAUGGGCGAAAGCCUGAUCCAGCAAUGCCGCGUGAGUGAUGAAGGCCUUAGGGUUGUAAAGCUCUUUUACCCGGGAUGAUAAUGACAGUACCGGGAGAAUAAGCUCCGGCUAACUCCGUGCCAGCAGCCGCGGUAAU